rnacentral:lncRNA from 1 species
CUCCUGUUUGUUUCUUAAGAAGUAGGUAUGGGCAACACCAGCAGCCUCAGAAUGUUCAAAGGGACUUACGGAAUAAAAAUUUUUGGAAGAGUUUGCUCAGAUGUCUCAGCCCAUGUGUCAGAAUCCCUAGUCCCCCAAACAGUGCUCUGGCCUUAAUAUAACAGUUUCCUUAGUUAGGCUUUUAAUCAUCUCUGAAGUUAAUCCAUUCAACUAAGACUUGGACUUGGACCUUGACUUUCUCUGCUUUCCAGCUGCAGGAGAUGAGAACUUCUCUGCAACCAAAGAGCCCUCUUCCUUUUGCACCUGGCAUUCAAUUCCUUGUUUCUUACCCUCAGCUAUUCUCCAUCUUUCUGUAGCACAUCGGUGGUCCUUAGCAAUAGGUAAGGAUAUUGUUAUCCUUAUAGCUAUUAUUUUUUCCAUAUGUCUCAAAUGUCUGAUUCAUCAACCUGCUAGUGUGUUCCCUUUCACAGAUUCACUUUCUCAGUUCACCACCAGUGAAAAUUUAUGACAUAGAGAUUGUCUGUGCUUCAGCGAUGGUGUCCUUAUCUCCAGUCUGGGCAGUGAGUGAUCUGGCUCUAAACCUCAUCUUAUCAUUUGUGCUUUCAGACUUCUCCUGGUACAGACCAGGUUCUCCAGAAGAGAUGCUGGACAGAGUUUGGGUUGCAAGGUGCUGCCAAGUCUGAGCUGGGUCAAGAUUGAAUUGGAGGAGAGUAAGUUUUUUUAAAAUAAUUCCUUAUAUUUGCAUAGGAUUCACAAAGCCCUUUCAAAUUCAUUUUUGAAUUUUACUUCUCAUAACCACUCUGUGAAGAGACUAGCAUUAUUUCUCAUCUUACAGUUAAAAAAAUCUGAGGUCUAGAGAGGUUAUGUGACUCAUUGAAUCUACACAGGUCCUAUGGAGUGUGGGACCCAGGUGUUCUGAUCCCAGUCCAUGGCUUUGGCUGCUAUGUCUUAGCUCCUGUAUCUACCUUGCAAUGUGAAGACUGAGGAAAAGAUGAAUUAUUUGCAUAAAGAAGAGCUAAUGGUAUUCUGGUACCAAUUCUCAAAGCAAACGUGGGGGUUGGUUUCCCACAUACCAUGGAGCACUUUUCAGACAUGUUGAUGUCCUGCAGUUCAACUCAAUUUUGACACUAUCUACCUAAAGAUAGUGUCAUACUCUACACGUUAAGGGUUCAGUCCUACAAGACUUCCCCCAGCCCCCACUUCAGAUGCCAGUGCAAGUCCAGUUUGUCACCUGGGCUUCUGACUAGCCAGCUAUAAAAUUGGAGUUCCCCGCAACUCCUUCCUUAGGUAGGAUUAAUUUGCUAGAGGGGUUCAGAGAACUCAGAGGAAUAUUUUACUUACUAUUUACUAGCUUAUUAUAAAGAAAGACAUAAAUCAAGGACAGCCAGAUAGAAGAACCGCGUAGGGAACAUGUAAAGAAAUGGGAGGAGCUUGCCACUCUUCCCAAAUCUCCAUGAGUUCACCAAUCUGGAAGUUCUCUGAACCUUUACUGUUUCUAUGGAGGCUCCAUUACAUAGACAUGGUUAAUUAAAGCAUGAUUGAUUGAUUCAAUCUCCAGCCCCUUUCCCCUUCCCCAAGGUCUUGGAGGUAGAAUUUAAAGUUCCAGUCUUCUAAUUGUGUGGUUGGUUCUCCUGGCAAGCUGCCCCCAUCCUUAAGUUUGGUCCCAAAGUCACCUUAUUAUUU